UACGGAGGAUGCGAGCGUUAUCCGGAUUUAUUGGGUUUAAAGGGUGCGUAGGCGGAAUAUCAAGUCAGCGGUAAAAUGUCCGGGCUCAACCCGGGCCGGCCGUUGAAACUGGGUGCCUUGAGUGGGCGAGAAGUACGCGGAAUGCGUGGUGUAGCGGUGAAAUGCAUAGAUAUCACGCAGAACUCCGAUUGCGAAGGCAGCGUACCGGCGCCCAACUGACGCUGAAGCACGAAGGCGUGGGUAUCGAACAGG
rnacentral:rRNA from 1 species